UGGGUGUAGCCCAGGCGGGGAAAACAGCGUGGACAUGCUUCGUGCUAACACUACCACUACCGGAAUGAAGUGCGAGCAGCUAGACCUCUGGCCUCCACCCGAAAUGGGCCUCCUGCCUCCGGACUGACUCCCGAGCCAUCUUCUCGCUUCCUCUGGCACCGAAGGCCCACAGGGUCCAGCUUUUUAAUGGGCCCUUUAUCUGCUACAGACCGCCUCGACGAACCGGAAUCAAAUCUGGGCCCUUGCAAGGACGGAGGCCGAAGUCUAGAUCCCGAAGUAAGCCCAGUAGGAAGCGGCGCGGUCCAGACACCCGGGGACCGGUGACCUGUCUGCACUCCCGGCCACGCGGCGCGUCGCUGGGCUGGAAUCCCACCUUGCAUCCACCGCGCGGGAUUCCAAACAGCCAGUAUAAACUAUCCUCUUACCCCACCACAACAGGGAAGAUGGCGGGACCCAGGCUUCCGUGCAAGUUUCCAGAAUUAUACCUGAGGGUCCGGGCGGCAAGGCCUGCAUCCACCUCUCGCCCGGACUUUCGUUUACAGCCGCGCCCUCUAAGGGAAGGUUUAUGACCACAGCGCUGCAGAACAGAGUCGGGUGGGCACUAUACAUGGCCGUGGCGCCUGCGGCCCCAGCUCGCGGCCUGGGGCGCGCUCGCAGGGCCCCAUCCUUCUGGUGCGCGGGGCUCUGGAGCCAGAAAGUGUACACAGACCAUAAAUUUUCCGCCCUGCUCGGCGCAGCUCUCCGAGGUCAGGGGCCGGCCGCCCGCCUCCAACCGCCUCUGCGCGCCUACCCCUUAACUUGCGUCCGGGUAACUGCCGCCGACAGCAAAACGUAGCUGGUGCCCGCUGCAGCGCCUAGCCAGACUGCAACGCCGCCUCAUCACUGUUACAGCACCCUAGUAGCGUUGGGACUCGGGGAGCAGCCUGCGGCUCCCCACCGCUGCCUACGAGGCAGGAGUUAGGGAAUGGAGUAAAGAGGGAAGAAGGCGAGGCCUGGGGGAGGCCAGAAAAUCGCCGCAGACCACAAGUUCGGAGAUUGGAGUAAGAAAGGCAGAUUUCUGUCAGAGGCUCGGCCACGCCCCUUACCCGCCAAGUACCUUGAUCAAAUUACCCAACCCCUCUGCUUCUCAAAAUGGCCAUCUGUAAGAGAGGAAGAAUAUCUUCUGCCCUGAGUUGCUGUGAUGGUUACAUGAGAUAUAAGACUUUCACCUCUUGUUCAAAGAGUGGAAAAGACUUGUGUCUCUUUCCUCCGUUCUUUACUUGCACGCACCCAUAGGUGAUUUCAAACGAGUAUAGACACUCUCUCCAGCCAGAAUGAACUC
rnacentral:lncRNA from 1 species